UACAGAGGGGGCAAGCGUUGUUCGGAAUUACUGGGCGUAAAGGGCGCGUAGGCGGCCUGUUAAGUCGAACGUGAAAGCCCGGAGCUCAACUCCGGAAUUGCCUUUGAAACUGUCAGGCUCGAGUACGGGAGAGGUGAGUGGAAUUCCCAGUGUAGAGGUGAAAUUCGUAGAUAUUCGCAAGAACACCGGUGGCGAAGGCGGCGACCUGGGCCGAUACUGACGCUGAGGCGCGAAAGCGUGGGGAGCAAACAGG
rnacentral:rRNA from 1 species